rnacentral:rRNA from 1 species
AGUCUGGUGCCAGCAGCCGCGGUAAUUCCAGCUCCAGAAGCGUAUAUUAAUGUUGUUGCAGUUAAAACGCUCGUAGUUGGAUCUUGGAGAAGGGUUUGAGCUCUGUCCGCCUGAAGGCGAGUACGGACUCUCCCUCUCUGUAUUUGGCAACAGGGUAUGGCGGCUCUUAAUUGAGCUUGUCAUUCGGUGGAGGGCAACCGAAGCCGAGGUCAGGCGCCGGAGGCAGGCGUUCGGUGAAAGCUGGGCGUCGCUGCGGGGUCGGACGAUUCUUUGCCUCAUUUACUUUGAAAAAAAUAGAGUGCUCAAAGCAGACCUUAGGGCCAUUGAAUAAUUCAGCAUGGGAUAAUAGAACACGAGUAUGAACUCAUUUUGUUGGUAUAUUGAGUUUGCACUAAUGAUUAAAAGGGGUCGUCGGGGUGGUUUGUAUUGAAAAGCUAGAGGUGAAAUUCUUGGAUUUUUUCAAGACAAACUACUGCGAAAGCAAUCCACUAGGAGGCUCCCAUUAAUCAAGAACGAAAGUUGGGGGAUCGAAGACGAUCAGAUACCGUCGUAGUCUCAACCAUAAACGAUGCCGACCUAGGAUAGAGGAGUGUUUUUCUAUGACUUCCCCUGCACUAUACGAGAAAUCACAAGUCUUUGGGUUCCGGGGGGAGUAUGGUCGCAAGGCUGAAACUUAAAGGAAUUGACGGAAGGGCACCACCAGGCGUGGAGCCUGCGGCUUAAUUUGACCCAACACGGGGAAACUUACCAGGUCCGGACAACGCAAGGAUUGACAGAUUGAAAGCUCUUUCAUGAUUCGUUGGGUGGUGGUGCAUGGCCGUUCUUAGUUGGUGGUGUGAAUUGUCUGGUUGAUUCCGUUAACGAACGAGACCUUUGCUGGUAAAUAGUCACGGUAAGGUAUUGCGUCAAGGCGUAGGGGGCCAACCUUGGGAAGGAUCCGUUCCCCCAGGGUUGCCGAUCUCCUGCGUUGCAUUUCUUCCUGGAAGUACUUCUUACUAGGACUAACUGUGACAAGCAGUUGGAAGUUGGAGGCUAAAACAGGUCUGUGAUGCCCUUCGAUGUUCUGGGCCGCACGCGCGCUACACUGAUCGAGUCAACAAGUUUACAACCUUCUCCGAAAGGAGUGGGUAAUCUCUUGAAACUCGAUCGUGAUAGGGAUAGAUGAUUGCAAUUAUUUGUCUUGAACGAGGAAUGCCUAGUAGGGUUGAUUCAACAGAUCGACCCGAUUACGUCCCUGCCCUUUGUACACACCGCCCGUCGCUCCUACCGAUUGGAUGUUCCGGUGAGGAUUCUGGACUUUGAGUUUAGUGUCUUGGGGUUCUGCUUCAAGACUCGCUCGAGGGAAAUUAUUCAAAUCUUAACAUUCA